rnacentral:rRNA from 1 species
AUGGCAUCCACGCACGACCUCGUGACACAGAACUUCGCCAAACUUCCGGUGGGCGUCGUGUGCGCCACAGACAUGCAGUUCAAAGGCAAAGGUAUGAUUGGAAUAAUCAACUUUCCUUGUCAUGACAUCCUGUACUAUCUAUGUGAUAACACCCAGGGACUUCCAGAGCUAGAUGUAAGGAUAAAGUGGCCUAAUGAUCUAUAUCUGAAGGGCUUAAAAGUUGGUGGCAUUCUUUGUACCUCAUCAUAUGAGCCGAAAGUCUACAAUAUUUGCACUGGUAAGUAUGUUCCAAAUGGUGUUGACGCCAGUAGUAUAAGAUGA